CUCUUGAAAAUUGUCAUUACUUGUGUUUUCCUAUACAUUCAUCUGUGUGAAAGCCUUUUUCUUCUUUGAUUUAAAAAAAUUAACUAUACAGUUAAUGGUUUAGAACUUAGAACUACUUAGAAUUAAUGCUAAAGUGUCAGGAAGAAAUUAAUUUAGCUUCAAUAAUUGUGACUGGCCUCAGGAAUUCUCCCUUCCACACCUGCCCACCUCACCUCACCGCACCGCACCGCACCGCACCGCACCAGAGCCAGAGCAGCUGCUUGUCUGCAGCAGGACACAGUUCCUACAUACGUUUCAGUUCUUUCAUGGUAAGCUCAAUGGACUUUGAAUUGUUUACAGUGCUGUAUGUCCAAUUGUUAAAUGUACCAUUCUGAACGAUGUUAAAGCAAGUGUGGUUUAUUUAUGGCAUGAACCAUGUAACUUGAAAUAUGAACUUACAAGGAGGGGCACUCAUUAGGUAACAAGUUCUUACACCAAACUUCCUUGAUGAAAUAAGCCAAAAUAAUCCUAAAAUUCAUUAGAAGAACUUGAUAAAAGACUCAAAUAAAUGUUAGAAAGAGCCCAUAAUUUUAGGACUCCUAUAAAAUUCUUCCUUGUUUGUUAAUGCUAUUAAAACUCAGAUUCGAGGGAAAUACCAGCUUCCCCUUGAGUCACUUUGAAAUAGUUAAUUCAACAGCACCAUGUUAGAAAUAUAUUGGCAGCCAAGACUCUGAACUCUGCAGAAACAUUUGUUUCACCCAGACUUCAAACUCUAGCCCUGACUAUGAUGCCCCUGUGUGCAUUUACAAUAAAGACUCCAACGGAGGGA
rnacentral:lncRNA from 1 species